GCAAGUCGAGGGACCGGCGCACGGGUGAGUAACGCGUAUCCAACCUUCCCGCAAGUAAGGGAUAACCCGUAGAAAUGCGGCCUAAUACCUUAUGCUUGCGGAUGGGGAUGCGUCUGAUUAGUUAGUCGGCGGGGUAACGGCCCACCGAGACGACGAUCAGUAGGGGUUCUGAGAGGAAAGUCCCCCACAUUGGAACUGAGACACGGUCCAAACUCCUACGGGAGGCAGCAGUGAGGAAUAUUGGUCAAUGGGCGGAAGCCUGAACCAGCCAAGUAGCGUGCAGGAUGACGGCCUAUGGGUUGUAAACUGCUUUUAUGCGGGGAUAGGUACCGCAUGAAUAAGGACCGGCUAACUACGUGCCAGCAGCCGCGGUAAUACGUAGGGGGCGAGCGUUAUCCGGAUUUAUUGGGCGUAAAGCGUGUGUAGGCGGUUUAUUAAGUCCGAGAUGAAAGGCUGAGGCUUAACCUCAGUUUGUUUCGGAAACUGGUAGACUAGAGUGCAGUAGAGGCAAUUGGAAUUCAUAGUGUAGCGGUAAAAUGCGUAGAUAUUAUGAGGAACAUCAGUGGCGAAAGCGAAUUGCUGGGCUGUUACUGACGCUGAGACACGAAAGCGUGGGGAGCAAAU
rnacentral:rRNA from 1 species